UGGAGAAGGCAGGGGAAAAGAAUCUCACUGUGAACCGCUGACCAUUACUGAGUUAUUCUGGCAUAUCACGAACUUUGAUGUAGUUGAGACAUUGACUUACAGAGGACUUCAACGCUCAUGUGGGGAAUGAUGGAGAUACCUGGAGGGGAGUGACCUCCCUGGUCUGGACCCGAGAGUUUAAUCAGCAGAAACCUAAAGACUAAAAUAUAUACUUCAGGGAGAAGGAGGAGGAAGAGUGCUUUUUGGGUUGUGCAUGGAUGUGGUUUUGAACAAUGCAGCAAGUAAGUGGGAGUCAUAGAAACAGUGUCAUCCAUAGCAAAAACAGAGCACUGUU